rnacentral:rRNA from 1 species
AAUAUUUUACAAUGGGGGCAACCCUGAGCCAGCCAUGCCGCGUGUGUGAAGAAGGUCUUCGGGUUGUAAAGCACUUUAAGUUGGGAGGAAGGGCUUUAGGUUAAUACCCUGAAGUUUGGACGUUACCAACAGAAUACGCACCGGCUAACCCUGCGCCAGCAGCCGCGGUAAUACAGAGGUUGCAAGGGUUAAUUGGAAUUAUGGGGCGUAAAGCGCGUGUAGGUGGUUCAGUAAGAUAGGUGUAAAAUACCCGGGCUUAACCUAGGAACUGCUUUAAAAACUGCUGAGCUAGAGUACGGUAGAGGGUAGUGGAAUUUCCUGUGUAGCGGUGAAAUGCGUAGAUAUAGAAAAGAACACCAGUGGCGAAGGCGACUACCUGGACUGAUACUGACACUGAGGUGCGAAAGCGUGGGGAGCAAAC